UGCGCAGGCGGUUUAUUAAGACAGAUGUGAAAUCCCCGGGCUUAACCUGGGAACUGCAUUUGUGACUGGUAGGCUAGAGUGUAGCAGAGGGGGGUAGAAUUCCACGUGUAGCAGUGAAAUGCGUAGAGAUGUGGAGGAAUACCGAUGGCGAAGGCAGCCCCCUGGGUUAACACUGACGCUCAUGCACGAAAGCGUGGGGAGCAAACAGGAUUAGAUACCCUGGUAGUCCACGCCCUAAACGAUGUCAACUAGGUGUUGGGGAAGGAGACUUCCUUAGUACCGCAGCUAACGCGUGAAGUUGACCGCCUGGGGAGUACGGCCGCAAGGUUGAA
rnacentral:rRNA from 1 species